GCCCUCAGGUCUAAGGACACGCAGCAGGCGCGCAAAUUAUCCCCUGGCAACACUUUGCCGAGAUAGUGACAAUAAAUAACAAUGCAGGGCUCUUAUGGGUCUUGCAAUUGGAAUGAGUACAAUUUAAAUCCCUUAACGAGGAUCAAUUGGAGGGCAAGUCUGGUGCCAGCAGCCGCGGUAAUUCCAGCUCCAAUAGCGUAUAUUAAAUUUGUUGCCGUUAAAAAGCUCGUAGUCGAACUUCGGCCUCGGUCAGUUGGUCCAUCUCUUUGAUGUGUACUUGCUUGACCGGGGCUUACCUCCUGGUGAACUGUCAUGCACUUUACUGGGUGUGGCAGGGAACCAGGACUUUUACCUUGAAAAAAUUAGAGUGUUCAAAGCAGGCCUACGCCCGAAUACAUUAGCAUGGAAUAAUAAAAUAGGACGUGCGGUCCCAUUUUGUUGGUUUCUGAGAUCGCCGUAAUGAUUAAUAGGGAUAGUUGGGGACAUUUGUAUUCCGUCGUCAGAGGUGAAAUUCUUGGAUUGCCGGAAGACAAACUACUGCGAAAGCAUUUGUCAAGGAUGUUUUCAUUGAUCAAGAACGAAGGAAGGGGGAUCGAAAACGAUUAGAUACCGUUGUAGUCUCUUCUGUAAACUAUGCCAAUUGGGGAUUAGCUUGGGAUUUUCAAUGACCAAGUUAGCACCCGAAGAGAAAUCUUUAAAUGAGGUUCGGGGGGGAGUAUGGUCGCAAGGCUGAAACUUAAAGGAAUUGACGGAAGGGCACCACCAGGU
rnacentral:rRNA from 1 species